rnacentral:rRNA from 1 species
UACAGAGGGGGCAAGCGUUGUUCGGAAUUACUGGGCGUAAAGCGUGCGUAGGUGGUUCUUUAAGUCAGGUGUGAAAUCCCCGGGCUCAACCUGGGAACUGCAUUUGAUACUGAAGAGCUAGAGUGUGGUAGAGGAUAGUGGAAUUCCCGGUGUAGCGGUGAAAUGCGUAGAUAUCGGGAGGAACAUCAGUGGCGAAGGCGGCUAUCUGGACCAACACUGACACUGAGGCACGAAAGCGUGGGUAGCAAACAGG